rnacentral:rRNA from 1 species
UACGGAGGGUGCAAGCGUUAAUCGGAAUUACUGGGCGUAAAGCGUGCGUAGGCGGUUUGUUUAGUCAGAUGUGAAAGCCCCGGGCUCAACCUGGGAACUGCAUUUGAUACUGGCAGACUAGAGUAUGGUAGAGGUGAGUGGAAUUUCAGGUGUAGCGGUGAAAUGCGUAGAGAUCUGAAGGAACAUCAGUGGCGAAGGCGACUCACUGGGCCAUUACUGACACUGAGGUGCGAAAGCGUGGGUAGCAAACAGG